GCCCGUGUGGCUCAGUGGAAUGAGCAUCGUCCCAUUCACCAAGAGGUCGCUGGUUCAAUUCCUGGUCAGGGCA